CGUGAGAAAAUGUAAAAACAAGAUGACAGUGGAGAUCCAUAAUAUUUUGUUUGAACCCUAAUUUCCCAAAAUUCAUUUUCAACAAUACAUUCUCUCGAUAAAAUAAUUUUAUAUGUAAAUACAAUUUUUCCUUUUUUUUUUUAACCAUGCAUUCUUCUAAAAUUCACUAUUCCAAAAUCGAUUAACCCCCAAAAAAUGGGGUCAAACAAGGGCUAAAGUUUCCAUUUCUUUGUUGAUGUUGCUGUUUCUUGUGCGCAUGCCAGGGGUGGGCUCUCUCAUAAAGAUAUAUUGCAAUUUAGGUAUGGAAAAGGCAAAGUAUAUUAAAGAAAUGUCUUCUGAAGGAAUCAAUCCUGUGGAUAAAACAUUCAUAAUGCGUAAAUGAAAUAUAAUCUUAAGAUUAAAGUAAUGAUAAAGGAAAUCAGCUAGAUGUGAUUGAAAAGUGAAAUUGAUGACGGACCAUACACUGGGCUUUCUUUUGACAGGUAUUCUUAUUGCAGUUGGGAAUGUCCUGAAAAUAUAACGGCGAAGUUCUAAAAUGAUGUCUUGACUUCUGCAGAUGCUAUUCAAGGGUUUCCCAGAAAAGUGUGAUGCUUUAAAGAAGUUGAGAAUGGGCGUGAUGGAAAGGGUAUCUUCAGCAAGGUGGGCAACCGAGUGGGAGGAAAAUGCUAAGCCCUUAAUAUCUAAGGCAAGUCAACUAUCCUUAAUCUGGAGUUUUCGGUUACUCUCUUCUACAUCUUCUGUUACGAAGUUUUCAAGUGAAACUUAUUCAGGCUUUGAGAUCUUUUUGCCAUUGAUUUAAUCCUAUACUAGAUCACUGAAUCAAUGAUAAUAUGCACUAUUUCAGGUCAUUUCUGAGAACUUCAGCUGAAGGUGCAGGAGUGUAACAUAAAAAAUUUUCGAGUUUGAAAUUUUCUUUAUGCAUUUAUAGGUAGAUAUACCCUAACUCAUCAAGUCUCUGGUCGGGAGGGGACUACUCUUGCUCCCCUGCGGCCCUGCCUGCCCCCUAGAUUUGUUGGGACAGCAUACAAAUUUUUCUUUCUCCCCCAGUGGACGAUAGCCUGCAGCAGAUCUCCAUGAAGAAUUUUAUUUUGACUUCAAACUGGAAACAUUAGCAAACUUUGUCAUGAGGAAAAAUAUGUUCAUAAAACAAAACAUCCCUCGAAGUAUAAAUCUUUAUUGUUUCAAGAUCAUAAAUUCUAGAAAAAUUCUAUAUCCCCUUUGUCCAAAAGGAUACCCAAUAUGUAUACCAGGCUUUGAACAUGCAUCAGAUUUGUAGGUGAAAGAUCAUGGGCAAGCAUAUACACCCAAAAACUCAACGUUGAGUUGCCUAAAGUCAUUUCAUGGGGUGUUUUACCAUUUAAGACAGACGGGGGAAUUUUAUGAUUCGAUAAACAGUGGAAAAAAAUGCACUCUUCCC
rnacentral:lncRNA from 1 species